GCUUGCUUCUCUUGAGAGCGGCGGACGGGUGAGUAAUGCCUAGGAAUCUGCCUAGUGGUGGGGGAUAACGUUCGGAAACGGACGCUAAUACCGCAUACGUCCUACGGGAGAAAGCGGGGGAUCUUCGGACCUCGCGCCAUUAGAUGAGCCUAGGUCGGAUUAGCUAGUUGGUGAGGUAAUGGCUCACCAAGGCGACGAUCCGUAACUGGUCUGAGAGGAUGAUCAGUCACACUGGAACUGAGACACGGUCCAGACUCCUACGGGAGGCAGCAGUGGGGAAUAUUGGACAAUGGGCGAAAGCCUGAUCCAGCCAUGCCGCGUGUGUGAAGAAGGUCUUCGGAUUGUAAAGCACUUUAAGUUGGGAGGAAGGGUAGUAACUUAAUACGUUGCUACUUUGACGUUACCGACAGAAUAAGCACCGGCUAACUUCGUGCCAGCAGCCGCGGUAAUACGAAGGGUGCAAGCGUUAAUCGGAAUUACUGGGCGUAAAGCGCGCGUAGGUGGUUCAGUAAGUUGGAAGUGAAAUCCCCGGGCUCAACCUGGGAACUGCUUUCAAAACUGCUGAGCUAGAGUACGGUAGAGGGUGGUGGAAUUUCCUGUGUAGCGGUGAAAUGCGUAGGUAUAGGAAGGAACACCAGUGGCGAAGGCGACCACCUGGACUGAUACUGACACUGAGGUGCGAAAGCGUGGGGAGCAAACAGGAUUAGAUACCCUGGUAGUCCACGCCGUAAACGAUGUCAACUAGCCGUUGGAAUCCUUGAGAUUUUAGUGGCGCAGCUAACGCAUUAAGUUGACCGCCU
rnacentral:rRNA from 1 species